GUGAAUCAUCAAAUUUUUGAACGCAAAUUGCACUCUCCUCGGAGAGUAUGCCUGUUUGAGGGUCAGCCUAUAAAAAAUCGACAUCGUUGCUGUUUCGCGGUGGCGUUCGUCGGAAAUUGGGUUAUCUUAAAUCUUUGGUUUAUCGGCUUUAAAAUUUUUUUUACUAUUCUAAGAAGGUUUCUAAGAUUUUUUUUUUUUUUUUAUUAUAUGUAAUGUUUUAUUUGACGUGUU
rnacentral:misc_RNA from 1 species